UACGGGGGGAGCAAGCGUUGUUCGGAUUUACUGGGCGUAAAGGGCGCGUAGGCGGUCGUGACAAGUCACUUGUGAAAUCUCCGGGCUUAACUCGGAACGGUCAAGUGAUACUGUCGGACUAGAGUACAGAAGGGGCAACUGGAAUUCUCGGUGUAGCGGUGAAAUGCGUAGAUAUCGAGAGGAACACCUGCGGCGAAGACGGGUUGCUGGGCUGACACUGACGCUGAGGCGCGAAAGCCAGGGGAGCAAACGGG
rnacentral:rRNA from 1 species